rnacentral:rRNA from 1 species
CAUGGCUCAGAGUGAACGCUGGCGGCGUGCUUAACACAUGCAAGUCGAACGGAGAGAAAGAAGUUUACUUUUUUCUCUUAGUGGCGCACGGGUGAGUAAUGUAUAGCUAACAUGCCCUUUAGAGGGGGAUAACAGUUGGAAACGACUGCUAAUACCCUCAUACUCCUUCUUUCUUAAUGAGAGUCGGGAAAGUUUUUCGCUAAAGGAUUGGGCUAUAUGGUAUCAGCUUGUUGGUGAGGUAACGGCUCACCAAGGCUAUGACACCUAGCUGGUCUGAGAGGAUGAUCAGCCACACUGGAACUGAGACACGGUCCAGACUCCUACGGGAGGCAGCAGUGGGGAAUAUUACACAAUGGAGGAAACUCUGAUGUAGCAACGCCGCGUGGAGGAUGACACAUUUCGGUGCG